GGACCUGUGUGGCGAGUAGGAGGACACUAGUCGCAGAACCUCAAGGAUAGCUCGUAGUUUUGUUCCUAAAGCCGAGGUUCCGCCAAUUUAUAUGGAGAAUCCAUUCAACCAGGCUCCAUUUGAGUUCUGGAGUAAUCCUCCAAUCGAUACACUGUCAUUUUGUCUAACAAGAGCCCUAUCCACAUUAAUCUUCAAGGCACCUUCCUUCGGGGGGUGUCCAACUGACAUAGACGUGUUGUGGACAUCCUCGUCCACCUCUAGUGACGCGAUUAGCACCAGCAGCUUGGACCUCUCUGGCUUUGAACAAAGCACGAUGAACCAC
rnacentral:lncRNA from 1 species